GCUCUGCUCGUGCUGGACUCUGACCCUUGGCCCAUGCUGACAUUGGUCAGGAGACUUCCUGUCUGUUGCUGUUUUAAGUCUCUUCUGGUUAUCCUUUGCUGAAGCGAUGGAAUUUCAGGCCAGUCAAUGCUACCUAAAGACCUUUUCUCCACCAACCAACCAACCAACCAACCAACCAACCAACCAACCAACCAAAAAUCAGUAGGUGGUAAGGGCUAUGACAAGGCUAAAUGAAACCAGAAGCAUAAGAAGCAGCAAAGGGUAACCGGAAGAAGACAUUUAAAACAGCAACGGACAGGAAGUCUCCUCAUCAAUAUCAGAGUGGCUGACUAUGGGACAGUGAAGAUUUGGGGGCCACCGGAUAGCUGCUGUGACCUUACAUUCUGUUCUCCUGUCUCCACUCUUCAGGCCACGAAGGUCUUUUGUGUCAUUGAUGUUGCUGACAAACGCAGACCAGGAUCUUGCAUCGCGUCCCUCCGUUAGGGUCCACUGACAGUGCUUCAUGAUUAGCCUCAGACUGUACACCUCCUGACAAUACUUAGAAAAUAAUGUCCCUUUUUCCUAUCAGCAUGGACAGGAAUCAGUUUCUUAGUUUAGGAGAAGAAUUUCUAAUAAUAAGUAUUCCAGGUAAGAAGAAAAAAAUCCAGAGGCAUCCAAGGAGCCUGGUUUAGCUCGUAUGAGCCACUGCAAUGAGCUCCUUGUUUCCACGGACAGAGGAACAGGAAUGGUUUGAAGGCAGAGGACUCGAAGCCGAGAGGGGGCUACAGAGAGAAUAAUGGCUAACUCUGGAGCCCAGAAUGAGGAGAGGCCAGAAAAAGUGCUGAAGGCAACAGAGCCGGCUUUUAAAUCGCUUACUUAAAAAACUCUCAUUUAUUUCUCUGACACUUAAAGAAAAAAGGUGCCCACUGUGAAAAAUACAAAAGGAACAAAGAAGAAAAUAGCAAAGGCCCGCAGUCGCUGCAGCCCUGUUAAUCUCGCAGGCACAUGCCUUGCCAGCCGCCAGAAAAGCUCUUUCCAAACUCCUCUUGAAGUAGGAAAGCAGGAGAAAGAGCCACGUCUUCCCUGGGGGAUGGUGACGUCAUACUAGCAGAAGCCAGCCCGGAGGACAGCUCGUGCUUUUUUAUCCUCCUUCACUCUGACUGGGCUGUGUGUCUGUGGGCUGGGAGGGACAAGUGACCGGCACCUUGGGAAAUUCAGAUCUGCUGUUGUCAUAUUUGUGGAACUCUCAGACUUCGUCCAUAUGCUUGGAGCUGGGAGAGGAGCUUCCUGGCUUUUAAAGAAAAAAGGAAGGAGAAUGGGCUGCAAACCCAGCCCCAAUUCUUCCUCAGAAAGGGGCAGCAUGCCAGGUCAGGAAGAACCCUCCCUGAGGACAGAGCUGCCGUGGGGGUGGGGGUACAGGAGGGGCCCAGGAACAGGUUCUGUCAAGUUACUGUCUUCAGAGUCUGUGCAGCCCUAGGGACAGGCCUGGGGACAUCCUUGGGCCUGUGGGCUGAGUAUAGGCAGCCGUAGCAAGUAUGAGAGGGGGACCCGGUACCCAGAGGGGGGGUCUAUCUGCUUUUUUGGCUUCAGUUCCCCCUAUGGUGGGGGUCCCAGGGCAGGGCGGGUCGGGAGGCUGAGAAGCAGCCCUCCGGAACUGGGUCUGGUGGGAUGGAAAAUGGCGACACUUUCCAGCAUGCUCACAGCACAUUUAACUGUGCAUGUACUAUGUGGUGCUAUUAAAACAACCCAGACAAACCUUCAACCAGAGGAUUAUCAUAGCCUCUGGUGGACAAAGGAGGAAACAGCCGACAAGGUAAGCGAGAUAGCAUGUAGCCUGUGCCUUACUCAUGUCCUCAGACACCUGGAGGUGACCUCUGACCCUGCCUCUGUGUGCUGGUGGCUUUGUAUAUCUCUGU
rnacentral:sRNA from 1 species